rnacentral:rRNA from 1 species
CAGUCGCCGCGGGAAUACGAAGGGUGCAAACGUUGCUCGGAAUUAUUGGGCGUAAAGCGCACGUAGGCGGCUCCGCAAGUCGGAUGUGAAAUCCCUCGGCUUAACCAAGGAAGUGCAUCCGAAACUGCAGAGCUUGAGUACUUAAGAGGAUCGCGGAAUUCCCGGUGUAGAGGUGAAAUUCGUAGAUAUGCGGAGGAACACCGAUGGCGAAGGCAGCCCCCUGGGCCAAUACUGACGCUCAUGCACGAAAGCGUGGGGAGCAAACAGGAUUAGAUACCCCUGUAGUCCCUGUCUCUUAUAC